GCCAACUUAGUCCGCGGGACUCGGAAUGGCGCGAGACUUUGUGAACGGCCUCCGUGUGCCAAAAAUAGGCUACGGGUACAGCCGCACCCAAAAAUAACCGCCCGAAGGACGGGGUGCCAAGUUCGUCCAGCGAAAAAAGGCCCAAAAAACGGGUGGGCUAUAGCCUUGGGGGGUGGGGCGGGGCGACUUCGUCCGCCGGACUCGGAAUGGCGCGAGACUUUGUGAGCGGCCUCCGUGUGCCAAAAAUAGGCCGCGCCCAAAAAUAACCGCCCGAAGGCCGGGGCGCCAAAUUCGUCCAGCGGAAAAAGGCCACAAAAACGGGUGGGCUAUAGCCUUGGGGGGUGGGGCUGGCCAACUUCGUCCGCCGGACUCGGAAUGGCGUGAGAGUUUGCGAGCGGCCUCCGUGUGCCAAAAAUCGGCCGCGGGCACAGCCGCGCCCAAAAUAACCGCCCGAACGCUGGGGCGCCAAGUUCGUCCAGCGGAAAAAGGCCACAAAAACGGGUGGGCUAUAUCCUUGGGGGGUGGGGCCGGCCCACUUCGUCCGCCGGACACGGAAUGGCGUGAGAAUUUGCGAGCGGCCUCCGUGUGCCAAAAAUAGGCCGCGAGCACAGCCGCGCCCAAAAAUAACUGCCCGAAUGCCGGGGCGCCAAGUUCGUCCAGCGGAAAAAGGCCACAAAAACGGGUGGGCUAUAGCCUUGGGGGGUGGGGCUGGCCAACUUCGUCCGCCGGACUCGGAAUGGCGCGAGACUUUGCGAGGCGCCUCCGUGUGCCAAAAAUAGGCUGCAGGCGCAGCCGCGCUCAAAAAUAACCACCCGAAGGCCGGGGCGCCAAGUUCGUCCAGCGGAAAAAGGCCACAAAAACGGGUGGGCUUGGGGGGUGGGGCUGGCCAACUUUGUCCGCCGGACUCGGAAUGGCGCGAGACUUUGUUAGGUGCCUCCGUGUGCCAAAAAUAGGCCACGGGCACAGCCGCGGCCAAAAAUAACCGCCCAAAAGCCGGGGCGCCAAGUUCGUCCAGCGGAAAUAGGCCUCAAAAACGGGUGGGCUAUAGCCUUGGGGGGUGGGGCUGGCCCACUUCGUCCGCCGGACUCGGAAUGGCGCGAGACUUCGCGAGGCACCUCCGUGUGCCAAAAAUAGGCUGCGAGCACUGCCGUGCUAAAAAAUAACUGCCCGAAGGCCGGGGCGCCAAGUUCGUCCAGCGGAAAAAGGCAACAAAAACGGGUGGGCUAUAGCCUUGGAGGGUGGGGCUGGAGAACUUCGUCCGCCGGACUCGGAAUGGCGCGAGUCUAUGCAAGGUGCCUCCGUGUGCCAAAAAUCGUCCGCGGGCACAGCCGUGCCGAAAAAUAACCGCCCGAAGGCCGGCAAGUUCGUCCAGCGGAAAAAGGCCACAAAAACGGGUGGGCUAUAGCCUUGGGGGGUGGGGCUGGCCAACUUUGUCCACCGGACUCGGAAUGGCGCGAGACUUUACGAGGCACCUCCGUGUGCCAAAAAUAGGCUGUGGGCACAGCCGCGCUGAAAAAUAACUGCCCGAAGGCCGGGGCGCCAAGUUCGUCCAGUGGAAAAAGGCCUCACAAACGGGUGGGCUACAGCGUUGGGGGGUGCGG
rnacentral:lncRNA from 1 species